GAGACUGGGUGCUUCGGCGCCCGACCUCCAACCCCCUGUCUACCUUACCACUGUUGCCUCGGCGUCUCUGCCCACCUCCCCUCGCGGGUGGUGGGGGGUGCGCGCCGGCGGCCAAAAACAAAAACCCUUUUUUAAAUCAAGCAAUCUGAGAAAUUAUUUUAAUAACUUCAAAACUUUCAACAACGGAUCUCUUGGUUCU
rnacentral:misc_RNA from 1 species